AUGAGUCGACCUGAUGGGAUCAACAUCCCCGACGGCAAGUUCUAUCUUGGAGAUGCUGGCUAUGCAUGUCGGCCGGGUAUUCUUCCACCCUUCAGGAAAACCAGGUACCAUCUCAACGAGUUCUCUGGUAGGAACUAUCCUAGGAUUGCACGGGAGCUGUUUAAUCUCAGAAACUCCAGCCUUAGAGUAACUGUUGAUAGGGAAUUUGGAUCUCUGAAGAAUAGGUUUAAGAUCCUGGAUCAUAAGCCAUUUCACCCGUACUCCACUCAGGUUAAGCUAGUUCUUGCUUGUUGCAUUAUGCAUAACUGGAUCCUCCAAUGGGGCUUUGAUGAACAUGUGCCUGAGGAGGAAGAGGUCGAGCCUGACGAUGUUUUUAGCUCCGGCCAUGGUGUGGAGGAAUUUGACAAUGACGCUUGGAAGAACAAAAGGUUGGAGUUGGAAGAGGCGAUGUGGCUUAACAGAGGUCAGUGCAGGAUUUGA
rnacentral:rRNA from 1 species